UACGGGGGGGGUAAGCGUUGUUCGGAAUUACUGGGCGUAAGGGGUUCGUAGGUGGCCGGCUAAGUCAGACGUGAAAUCCCCCGGCUUAACCUGGGAACUGCGUCUGAUACUGGAAGGCUUGAGUAUGGGAGAGGGAUGUAGAAUUCCAGGUGUAGCGGUGAAAUGCGUAGAUAUCGGGAGGAACACCAGUGGCGAAGGCGGCUCACUGGACCGGUACUGACGCUGAGGCACGAAAGUGUGGGGAUCAAACAGG
rnacentral:rRNA from 1 species